ensembl:snRNA LOC120095488 U2 spliceosomal RNA
AUCGCUUCUCGGCCUUUUGGCUAAGAUCAAGUGUAAUAAAUGCAUUAAUAUUAAAUUACAAAAUGAGCAGAGUAGAAAAACUCACU